rnacentral:other from 2 species
CGAAUCCUAAAAUGUUCGUUAAUGAAUUGUUACUUAACACUUUUGACCGAACAUUAAAUCGUUGGGAGCUACUUAUUAUCGUAGAAGCAAACAUGCCCCAUUUUAGAGCGGGAAGUUUAACGCUACGACUAGUGCACCCCCCUUUUGUAAUACGGGAUCAAAACGAUGUUUUUAACAUGACGGCAUAUUUGGGAUUCGU